UGAUACUUCUAUUAGUUACAUAUUCUCCAAUCGCAUCCUCGCACCCCCCUCGUUUUGAGAUCGCUCCCCUAGGCAGGCUCAGGCGGGCGCGGAGCGGCGCGGAGUGACAAAGCCGCCGCUGCCGCCGCCGGGGGUGGGAACCGCUCUCGCCCGCCCGCCCCUCGACUCGCGAGGGCGUAAAAGUUUGUCUCAGCUCGAGCGUUCGUAGCGCCAACACGCCCUCAGGUAAAGGUGGAAGUAAAUGGCCACGCUGUAUUGACAGAGAUUGAGAAACGGAAAUACCACCACCGUUCAGCCAAUCUGCUGGGAGGACUGCUUGCAGGGGACUCGUGCUCCAGAUGUUGCACUAGAGGCGCUGCAAGUGUGAGCAGCAGGUAGAUGAAACUCAAGAGAAAAGUGUGGGUAAACGAAACUAGCCGAUGAUGAACCUGUUUUCUCCCUGACCACAAUAUGAACCAGGAUGAUGGCGAAAUUGCCACAGCCACUCAAGCUUCAGCAGUCACCACCUUGAUCAGUCAGCAGUCAUCAACUUCAAGGCAAGAUCCUCCACCAGCAAAAAGAUUACAACUUACUGAAGGCUCAGAGGAUCGUUUGCAUGUUUUUUUUUUUUUCUUUUGCAGUAAAGUAUUUUUAAAUUAAGGUGGCAGUGGGCCUGCAUCACAGGUUGCAGCAGAUGUUCUCAAUAUUUCUAUUAACAUUUCCUUAUUUCCAUAUGCAAGAGGAGCCCCAGAGCCUCAUCCCUGUGGUAGCUACCAUGCCGUGAUGUAAGCUGCCGUUCACUAGGGAGCUUUGGCAAGAGAAUUGGCUAGAUCAACAAGCCCAUUUCCACUAUGGAACAACAACUUGCAGCUCAUCUCUAUUGCUGGAUAUCUAACAAUGAUAUUUGAAAAACAGAUACUAAGUCUUGGAGAGAUACACUGCCUCUAGGACUUGGACAGAUAGCCACUGAGAACCUGCUUCAAAUCACCUUGCACAUUUUCUUGUUGGAAAGAUAACCACUGGAGAACCAUCUCAUUACCUUCAGCAAAAGCGGAAACAAAUCAAGACAUUUAGAAUGCCACAGUGGACAGCAGUGGUUCAGCAGAGGAAGUUUACAAGACGGUGUGCCACACUAGCUAGAAAUCAGAAAAGAUCGAAGCUAGCCUUUUUAUCUCAGCGGCUCCUUAAAUCAGUGCAACCCCUCCAAAUUAAUGUGAAUUAAAACAUGCAUUGCCUUUCAACUUAAUUCAGUACUUUCUAUGUGUGAACCACUGCACAAAAUAGGGGAAGAAAAUGAGGGCAACAAAGAUGUGGAGCCUGUCUCCAGUGAAUUUAGAGUUAGUUUCAGGGUACAUUUUUUUUCCUUCUGCUGUUGAUUAGGUCUAUCCCUAAGACAAGAAAUAAAUGAAUGGAAAAGUA